AGUUCUCUCCUGCAAAUCAAAUAGUCGGCAACCUUGUAUUUUGAGUAAAAAACUAAAGCAUGUAUCUUAAUUUGCAACUAUGCACACCAUUGUAAAUUCUUAUGAGUUCAUAUCAUGAAAUACUCAGACCGCAAAACAAAAGGUGACUUCAACAAGAUACAGGGAAGACACUAUACAUGAGCUCUACCGCAUCACCACCCCCUCGAUGAAAAUAGUUCCAAUAAUACAAUUUCUCUAAGUACCAAAACUUCAGUACUGAACACCAUGGUUUUAAGCUAAAAUGGAAAAACAAAAUAAGUGUUCAUGAAAAAGGGUGUUUUACAUGUUUAUCACAUUCUAU